ACGGAAGGCAGGAGUGAGGAAUAUUGGUCAAUGGGCGGAAGCCUGAACCAGCCAAGUCGCGUGAAGGAUGAAGGUAUUAUGUAUUGUAAACUUCUUUAGUCGCAGAGAAAUAAGGAGGUCGAGACCUCUGAUGCUAGUAUGCGAAGAAUAAGGAUCGGCUAACUCCGUGCCAGCAGCCGCGGUAAUACGGAGGAUCCGAGCGUUAUCCGGAUUUAUUGGGUUUAAAGGGUGCGCAGGCGGCUUUUUAAGUCAGUGGUCAAUUCGUGGGGCUCAACCCCAUCCCGCCAUUGAUACUGGAGAGCUUGAUUGCGGUCGAGGUUGGCGGAAUUCGUCGUGUAGCGGUGAAAUGCAUAGAUAUGACGAAGAACACCGAUUGCGUAGGCAGCUGACCAGGCCGUAAAUGACGCUCAUGCACGAAAGUGCGGGGAUCGAACAGGAUUAGAUACCCUGGUA
rnacentral:rRNA from 1 species